rnacentral:rRNA from 1 species
UACAGAGGUCUCAAGCGUUGUUCGGAUUCACUGGGCGUAAAGGGUGCGCAGGUGGCAUGGUAAGUUUGAUGUGAAAGCUCAGGGCUUAACCCUGAAAUGGCAUUGAAUACUACUGUGCUGGAGGUUUGGAGGGGGGACUGGAGUUCUUGGUGUAGCAGUGAAAUGCGUAGAUAUCAAGAGGAACACCAGUGGCGAAGGCGAGUCCCUGGACAACACCUGACACUGAGGCACGAAAGCUAGGGGAGCAAACAGG